rnacentral:lncRNA from 1 species
UUUUUCCAUCUCUGCAUUCAGCCAUCCAAAACACUGGCCUCAUCCUAAAGCUGGUCCCCCUUGAGAAUGUAACAUGGAUGCCAAUAUCAAUUGGGACUAGAUGCUUCUUUGUUGUCAUCACUGAGAAAGAGAAGGAAAAGUAUUUUCCUCAAUAAUGGAAUAUAAGUCUUUUCCUUUAUCUUUAUUACAGGUCACUACUAAAUCACUGACCAUGGGG